rnacentral:piRNA from 1 species
AAGAGAGGAAUCUAGACGGGGGCGA